UACGUAGGUGGCAAGCGUUAUCCGGAUUUAUUGGGCGUAAAGGGAACGCAGGCGGUCUUUUAAGUCUGAUGUGAAAGCCUUCGGCUUAACCGGAGUAGUGCAUUGGAAACUGGGAGACUUGAGUGCAGAAGAGGAGAGUGGAACUCCAUGUGUAGCGGUGAAAUGCGUAGAUAUAUGGAAGAACACCAGUGGCGAAAGCGGCUCUCUGGUCUGUAACUGACGCUGAGGUUCGAAAGCGUGGGUAGCAACCAGG
rnacentral:rRNA from 1 species